rnacentral:rRNA from 1 species
AAACUAACAAGGAUUCCCCUAGUAACGGCGAGUGAAGCGGGAAGAGCUCAAAUUUAAAAUCUGUAAGGUUCAACCUUGCCGAAUUGUAGUUUGAAGAAGUGUUUUCCGCGGCGGCUGCAGUACAAAUCCUUUGGAACAGGGUAUCAGAGAGGGUGAGAAUCCCGUCUUUGACUGUAGACUAGUUGCACUGUGAUACACUUUCUAAGAGUCGAGUUGUUUGGGAAUGCAGCUCAAAAUGGGUGGUAAAUUUCAUCUAAAGCUAAAUAUUGGCAAGAGACCGAUAGCGAACAAGUACCGUGAGGGAAAGAUGAAAAGAACUUUGAAAAGAGAGUUAAAUAGUACGUGAAAUUGUUAAAAGGGAAACGCUUGAAGUCAGUGUUGCCGGCGGAAAAUCAGCUUCAUGUGGACGGUUUGCUGCGGUGGAGGGAGUGUUAAAACCCCUUGCCGUAGUACAACUGGCCGGAUGGAGUGCACUUUUCAGUCGGCAGGUCAACAUCAAUUUCAGCCGGUGGAAAAAAACCAGUGGAACGUAGGUUGGAGCAAUCUGACUGUUAUAGCCACAGGUGUAUACACCGGCGGGGAUUGAGGACAGCAGUGUAGGCCAUUAUGGCGGAAGCUUCGAGUUUUUCUCCGGGGGGCACGUCAAGACAGCAUGCUGACUUGGUGUGUACACUCUUGGGAACGACGCGGAGAUACUUCUCCUGCACUAAGGAUGUUGACGAAAUGGCUUUAAACGAC